CCUACGGGGGGCAGCAGUGAGGAAUAUUGGUCAAUGGGCGCGAGCCUGAACCAGCCAAGUAGCGUGAAGGAUGACUGCCCUACGGGUUGUAAACUUCUUUUAUAAAGGAAUAAAGUGAGGCACGUGUGCCUUUUUGUAUGUACUUUAUGAAUAAGGAUCGGCUAACUCCGUGCCAGCAGCCGCGGUAAUACGGAGGAUCCGAGCGUUAUCCGGAUUUAUUGGGUUUAAAGGGGGCGUAGAUUGGUUGUUAAGUCAGUUGUGAAAGUUUGCGGCUCAACCGUAAAAUUGCCAUUGAUACUGGCAGCCUUGAGUUGGAGUGAGGUAGGCGGAAUUCGCGGUGUAGCCGUGAAAUGCUUAGAUA
rnacentral:rRNA from 1 species